AAGAUUUAAACAACUUUCAGUGUCUGUAAGGCCUUCAACAAUGAGUAAAACCUAAUACUUAUAGUAAGCUAUAAAAAAAAGUAAAUAUGACAAAAGGAAAAAGCAAUUCAAAUACUGUACAUUGUUGUAAGUUAACCUAGCUAGCCUAAUGUACAAAACAUUUAUAAAUAAAACAAAAUGAUAAUAGUCAGCAACCAAAGACAACCACUAAAUAACAGGUUACUAACUUGGGACAGCC
rnacentral:lncRNA from 1 species